rnacentral:rRNA from 1 species
AAAAUACGGGAGGCAGCAGUGGGGAAUAUUGCACAAUGGGCGAAAGCCUGAUGCAGCAACGCCGUGUGAAUGAAGAAGGCCUUAGGGUCGUAAAAUUCUGUCCUAAGGGAAGAAAAAGAUGACGGUACCUUAGGAGGAAGCCCCGGCUAACUACGUGCCAGCAGCCGCGGUAAUUUUU